rnacentral:ncRNA from 21 species
GGAGAGAUGGCUGAGUGGACUAAAGCGGCG